UCUCUGCGGCCAUCAUGGGAUCGUGCUCUUCUCGCUCGUUGAGCUGGUCCCUUCGCCGUGGCCUGCUGGUGACGGUCUGGAGCGAUGCUGAGCCCGGGCCCAGCCUCUCAGCUCCGCCUUGUGCGCUGCACAGAUCUAGGGGAGCCUGGUAAGUCGAGGUCUGCAUCGCGGGGCGCCGCGCGUGGGCGGGGUGUCGGCUGCAAUGAUGAUGAAACUAGAAAAAAAAGGAAGUGCCGUCCGAUGCGACAACUGACGACAUCCCUAGUUAGCUGACUGCAGUCGUUUAAGCCUCGGCGACCCAGUGCUGAACACAAGUGUUCUAAUUGCCCCUCAUGACUCUUACUCUUCUAACCUUUCAGACGGGACGUUGACAACGUGGAAUAGGAGCAGUAUCAUCCCACCAUGAGGUAAGGGUUUCUGGAGUAUCAGGUGGGGUUCAUAGACAAGAGGCUGUGUAGCUUUCGCUCCAGGGACUCCCAACAUACCCUGGCCCAUGUGGGCACAUACAUAAAUUUAAGACGUGUCUCCAUUUAGUGGCUGGAACUACUAGUUGGAGGACAGCAGAAAGCUUGACUGCUGUGAUGAGAUGACUAAGUAGGAAGUGCCGUCAGAGUCGAUAACUGACGAUAACUGCUCCUGGCUGACUGCAGUCAAGCCCACACCGGUGGCUGGGGUUUAGGUUUAACUUGGGCUGGACUUUUAACAACUGCUGUACUUCUAGGUUGGGGAUUUAAGAGUGGAAGAUUGCCAACAGCUGUGGCCUCCCAUGAGGGUGUCCCCUUUCAAGUUCUCAGAACGGACGCAGGACUGCAGAUCUGUGCUGGCAGCAGCAGAGGCUAUAUUCCCAGAGGAGUCUCCAGCCGGCCUGAAAGCAAAUAUCCUAAGUGACAUGUCUGCCAAUUUUGUUCUGGGUGGGCACAUUUGGUAAUCCUGUCUGUACCACAGGAUCUUCUAUGCCUUUUAAAAAUAAACAUUUGUUUAUAAACCAGA
rnacentral:lncRNA from 1 species